rnacentral:lncRNA from 1 species
CCAAAGUUGAAGCCUGGCGUCUGUGUUGUGGGGUUAGAGGUUCCAAACUGAGUGCCUGAAAUGGCUGCGCCGAAGUUGAAUCCUCCAGUGGCUGGCUGGGCAGGGGUAGCAGGGGCCUGCUGUGUGGACACACCACCAAACGAGAAAGUUGGGGCGGAGGCUGGGAGUAUGCCGACAGUCUGGGUGGCAGAGCCAAAGGUAGAGGCCGCCGUAGUGGCAGCCGCGCCAAAAGCAAAAGGAGCAGGGGUGGCCCCAGUGGCAGGUGACCCAAAUGUGAAAGGAUUAGCUGCCGCAGUAGCAGCCGGGGCCUGAAUCGCACUGGGGAACGCCGAUGCCGCCGGAGCUUCGAACGACGACUUCCCAAACGUGAAAGUGGACUGGUUUGCAGGUGCAGAAGCAGUAGCAGUGGCUGCGGCUGCAGUGGCCAUGCCAAAGCCACCGAAGGAUGCGGUGGUAGAGUUCUGGGUGGCUACAGGCUGGCCAAAGGUGAAUCCCCCCUGGGCGGUGGCUGAGGGGGCAGGUUGAGUGGCGCCAGAGGUGGUGGUCAUCGCACCAAACGAAAAGCCGCUGUUGCUAGUGGUGGCGGCUGUGGUGGAGCUGAGGGUGGGUCCAGGAGCUGUGGUGGAGGCGGUGCCGAACUGGAAGGUACUUCCUGUGGCAGGGGCAGUGGUUGUGGCAGCAGUCGUUGCAGGCAGCGCACUCCAGUUUCCAAACAGAGACUUGACAGAUGGCGGGGCGGCUGGGUUGGUGGAGGGGGCGGUGCUAUUAGACAGCCCAGUGAACAGGGAGGCGGCUGGGGCCACUGUACUACUGUUGGUUAGCCUGCUGAACACUGUGGCAGAUGCACUGGCAUUGGAGGGGGCUGAGGUGGAGGCUGGCUGUCCGAAAGCACUGGUGGCUGUGGCACUUCCAAAUAUGGGUUUAAAGGUGGGAAGAGCAGGUGUGCCCUCUGAGGCUGGGGCCGUGGCCCCGAAGAUGGGCUUGAACACCGAGGCCAGGAGGGGAUUAUUACUACUGGUUGUUUCUGUGGUGGCGGUUGUGGUUGUGGUGGGGGCCGGUGAGGAGGACGGGGCAGUCAGUGGAUUGGCCAUUCCAAACAGGCUUGCUCCACCCAGGAUGGGGACACUGCUGGGGGCCUUGGUGACUUGGCUCAGCGCCUGGGUGAAGGCAGAGGGCAUGGUGCUGGCAGGCUGGGAGAGGGAGGGUAGUGCAGGCUGGGAGAGGGAGGGUAGUGCAGGCUGGGAGAGGGAGGGUAGUGCAGGCUGGGAGAGGGAGGGUAGU